AGCUCCCCUCCAUGGCCCCUGCAUCAGCUCCUGCCUCCAGGUUCCUGCCCUGCUUGAGUUUCUGCCCUGACUUCCCUAAGUGACUACGAUUCAGGCAUAAGAACUGGUGGAGACACAGCUCCUUGGUGCACCUGCCUGGGGAAUUAUUUUCGGAGACUUCCACCCAGGAAAAGCUAGAUCCUUCACUUCCUCACAAAAGCACACUUGAGGAGAAAGAAACCAGUGCAUGGAACAGGAGUUAAAGAAGAUCAGGGCCCAAGGGAUAGAAGAACAUUGUCCACUGUUUUGAUUACUUCCUGAACUCUAAAAAGGGCCUACGGACAUUUCCUCCUCCUUCUCCAUCAUGUGCCAGCUGGUCAGUGGCCACCCUGAGGUCAGGAAGAUAUCCAGUCUCAGGAUUCUUCAGCCACGCUGAGGAGAGGCAGCAGGAUCAGCCUGUUCAGCCUGAGGUAGAGGUAAGAGCUAGUGGCUUGCUACUUUACAUUUCUGACCUUGAGCU